rnacentral:lncRNA from 1 species
GGUUGCCUUGUAUUUGAACUGGUGUGAGAGAUCCUUAUUUGGAACCAUCGUGGGUCUUAAAAGGCUCAAAGACACAGAUCACUGGCUUUGUUUGCCUGAAGGUACCUGGCUGGAAAAUGACAGAACCAAGACUUGAGUGGUCUUAACCAUUAUGAUUUCGGCUUCACAAAAAUCAAAACUUCUUUAAAGAAA